rnacentral:rRNA from 1 species
CCUACGGGAGGCAGCAGUGAGGAAUAUUGGUCAAUGGCCGGAAGGCUGAACCAGCCAUGUCGCGUGAAGGUCAGUGCCCUAUGGGCGUUAAACUUCUUUUGUGCGGGAGCAAUAAUGGUCACGUGUGGCCAGACGAGAGUACCGUACGAAUAAGCAUCGGCUAACUCCGUGCCAGCCGCUGCGGUAAUACGGGGGAUGCAAGCGUUAUCCGGAUUUAUUGGUUUUAAAGGGUGCGUAGACUGUGAGGUAAGUCAUCGGUGAAAUACCCCGGGUCAACGGGUUGAAGUGCCAUUGAUACGGGCUUGCUGGAAUGCGGAUGCCGUGGGAGGAAUGUGUGGUGUAGCGGUGAAAUGCAUAGAUAUCACACAGAACACCGAUUGCGAAGGCAGCUUACCAAUCUAUAUCUGACGUUGAGGCACGAAAGCGUGGGUAGCAAACAGGAUUAGAUACCCCAGUAGUC